rnacentral:rRNA from 1 species
AUGUGUGCGUUCCAAAGCAAGGGGCAGGGAUUCUUCUAUAUUCCUGAUUUUAGCAUUGAUAGGCAAGCUAGGGAGAGGAUCUUUAACGUGAUUGUUACUAUCACUGAGGGGGCUGCUCCGACCAAAGAUAUAGAACAUGAAUUAAGCAUCUAUGUGGGAGAGGGUUGGAGAUGUUCUGCUAGGUUUUUUGCACCUCAAAAAUUUGUGAUGAGGAUGCCUAAUCCUAGGGAAGUGGAUCGUGCUUUGUUUGUGGAAAAUGUGAGACUGAAGCAGUGUGGAGUUUCAGUUAAGUUUUCUCCUUGGUCUGAAGAUAUUGAAUCUGAGGGCCUGUUGGAAAUUGCUUGGGUUCGAAUUGGGAAGAUCCCUCCGAACAAGAGAUGUGAUAGGACUGUGGCCUAUGUGGGUGGAUUAGUGGGCAUUACUCUUGAGGUAGAUAUGUCUACUAUAAACCGUUCCUCGUCUGUUAGAGCCAAAAUUGGAUGUCGCUCUGUUGAUCAGCUGCCUGCUACGGCAGAAGGUGUCCUGGGGGGCGUUUCUAUAAGUUUACCUAUGAGGUGGAAGAAGUUCUUGUCAGGAAUCCUGUGA